ACCAGUUGCAAGUGGCUCCAAGAUGUGGGGACUGUUCUGAUGAUCACUACCUGUUGUCACCCAUCCCCUGACUAAGCAAAGGGGUCCUAAUUGCUGAGAUUUUUAAAUCUCUUUGAUCCCAUCUUUCUACAGACAUCUUCCUACAAUAAGCGUUCACCCUCGGCCUCAGAUUUCGGAUGUUGGAGGAUGGCCCAAAGAGAGUUUGACCAGAGGAGGGAGCCCAGCUGCUAAGACCAAGAUCGUUAAAAAUCUCCCAAGAACUGUAGUUUGCUCUGAGAGCUCUCCCUCAACUCUGCAUAAACCUGAACUUAGAGAUCUAUCAUCAGACCUCAGAGCCUUUGUUUUGGAUCUACUCAUGAGGAUGCACCAUCUCCUAUCUGAAGACCUUUAAUGGCUUACCCUUGCAACAUGGCCUUCUUAUCUAGGAUGUGGGUGAGAACCACCCUUGCCACUCCUGGGAAAAGAAAACUGAAGGGUUCACUUUCAAAAUGCUACUGUGAUGCCCAGACACUUAUACUUUAUUAAAGCUACAAUUAUGUCCCAGAC
rnacentral:lncRNA from 1 species